CCACUAGCCUUGAAGUGUUUCUUAUGGUUUUUCCUUCUAAAAAGUUUCCAGCACUGGCACUUUCAGUGCUGCUCCCUAGAAGAACGCGAACUAAAUGCAACAAUUCCUGUUCAUUUCCGGCCAGUAAUUUCAAAGCAGUCUGCAAAUAAGAGAAUAAAAUCGAUCAUUGCUCGUUGAUAUGUAAUUCGACAGUUGUGGUUUAAACUAGAUGCCUU
rnacentral:lncRNA from 1 species